UGGGGAAUCAUGGUCAAUGGGCGAAACCCUGAUGCAGCGACGCCGCGUGAGCGAUGAAGCCCUUCGGGGUGUAAAGCUCUUUCGGCAGGAACGAUAAUGACGGUACCUGCAGAAGAAGCUGCGGCUAACUACGUGCCAGCAGCCGCGGUAAUACGUAGGCAGCAAGCGUUGUUCGGAGUUACUGGGCGUAAAGAGUGUGUAGGCGGUUCGCCAAGUUCGGUGUGAAAUCUCCCGGCUUAACUGGGAGGGUGCGCCGAAUACUGGCGGGCUAGAGUGCGGGAGAGGAGAGCGGAAUUCCUGGUGUAGCGGUGAAAUGCGUAGAUAUCAGGAGGAACACCUGCGGUGUAGACGGCUCUCUGGACCGUUUCUGACGCUGAGACACGAAAGCGUGGGUAGCAAACA
rnacentral:rRNA from 1 species